rnacentral:rRNA from 1 species
CCUACGGGAGGCAGCAGUGAGGAAUAUUGGUCAAUGGACGUGAGUCUGAACCAGCCAAGUCGCGUGAAGGAUGACUGCCCUCUGGGUUGUAAACUUCUUUUAUAUGGGAGUAAAACACGGUAUGCAUCCCCUCUUGUAUGUACCAUAUGAAUAAGAAUCGGCUAACUCCGUGCCAGCAGCCGUGGUACUACGGAGGAUACGAGCGUUAUCCGGAUUGAUUGGGGUUAAAGGGAGCGUAGGUGGAUUGUUAAGUCAGUUGGUAAAGUUUGGGGCUCAACCGUAGUAUGGCAGUUGAAACUGGAAUUCGAGAGUACAAGAGAGGUAGGCAGAAUUCGUGGUGUAGCGGUGAAAUGCGUAGAUAUCACGAAGAACUCCGAUUGCGAAGGCAGCACACUGGACUGCAACUGACACUGAGGCUCGAAAGUGUGGGUAGCAAACAGGAUUAGAUACCCUAGUAGUC